GGCUUCGGCUACCACUUACAGAUGGACCCGCGGCGCAUUAGCUAGUUGGUGAGGUAACGGCUCACCAAGGCAACGAUGCGUAGCCGACCUGAGAGGGUGAUCGGCCACACUGGGACUGAGACACGGCCCAGACUCCUACGGGAGGCAGCAGUAGGGAAUCUUCCGCAAUGGACGAAAGUCUGACGGAGCAACGCCGCGUGAGUGAUGAAGGUUUUCGGAUCGUAAAGCUCUGUUGUUAGGGAAGAACAAGUGCCG
rnacentral:rRNA from 1 species